GCAAACACAUUCCAGCCAGUCAGCAGCAGACCCUCCCUCCCAGACCCUCCCACCUCCUGGACAGCAUCCAUUGUGAAGCUGCAUUCUUAGUGAGCUGUCCAGGAGGUGGGAGGGUCUGGGAGGGAGGGUCUGCUGCUGAUUGGCUGGAAUGUAUCUG